CGAACGCUGGCGGCGUGCUUAACACAUGCAAGUCGAACGGUGAAGCGCCUUCCUUUUUGGUGGGUGUGGAUGAGUGGCGAACGGGUGAGUAACACGUGAGUAACCUGCCCCCUUCUUCUGGAUAACCGCAUGAAAGUGUGGCUAAUACGGGAUAUUCUGGGUCUGUCGCAUGAUGGGUCUGGGAAAGAUAUUGUUUCGGUGGGGGAUGGGCUCGCGGCCUAUCAGCUUGUUGGGGGGGUGAUGGCCUACCAAGGCGGUGACGGGUAGCCGGCCUGGGAGGGUGGACGGUCACACUGGGACUGAGACACGGCCCAGACUCCUACGGGAGGCAGCAGUGGGGAAUAUUGCACAAUGGGCGCAAGCCUGAUGCAGCGACGCCGCGUGAGGGAUGGAGGCCUUCGGGUUGUGAACCUCUUUCGCCAGUGAAGCAGGCCUGCCUCGUUUGUGGGUGGGUUGACGGUAGCUGGAUAAGAAGCGCCGGCUAACUACGUG
rnacentral:rRNA from 1 species